rnacentral:rRNA from 1 species
UACAGAGGUGGCAAGCGUUGUUCGGAAUUACUGGGCGUAAAGGGCGCGUAGGCGGUCUUGUAAGUUCCGUGUGAAAUCCCUCGGCUCAACUGAGGAACCGCACGGAAAACUGCUUGGCUUGAGUUCGGGAAAGGGAAGCGGAAUUCCGGGUGUAGCGGUGAAAUGCGUAGAUAUCCGGAGGAACACCGGUGGCGAAGGCGGCUUCCUGGACCGACACUGACGCUGAGGCGCGAAAGCUAGGGGAGCAAACGGG